AGACGUCUACAUUAGAUACCCCUGUAGUCCCAGCCCUAAACGAUGCGCGUUAGGUGUAUCGGUGACCACGAGUCACCGAGGUGCCGAAGGGAAACCGUGAAACGUGCCGCCUGGGAAGUACGGUCGCAAGACUGAAACUUAAAGGAAUUGCGGGGAGCACCACAACGCGUGGAGCCUGCGGUUUAAUUGGACUCAACGCCGGGAAGCUCACCGGAUAAGACAGCGGAAUGAUUGCCGGGCUGAAGACCCUGCAUGACCAGCUG
rnacentral:rRNA from 1 species